UUCAGCGGCGGACGGGUGAGUAAUGCCUAGGAAUCUGCCCGAUAGUGGGGGACAACGUUUCGAAAGGAACGCUAAUACCGCAUACGUCCUACGGGAGAAAGCAGGGGACCUUCGGGCCUUGCGCUAUCGGAUGAGCCUAGGUCGGAUUAGCUAGUUGGUGGGGUAAAGGCUCACCAAGGCGACGAUCCGUAACUGGUCUGAGAGGAUGAUCAGUCACACUGGAACUGAGACACGGUCCAGACUCCUACGGGAGGCAGCAGUGGGGAAUAUUGGACAAUGGGCGAAAGCCUGAUCCAGCCAUGCCGCGUGUGUGAAGAAGGUCUUCGGAUUGUAAAGCACUUUAAGCUGGGAGGAAGGGCAGUAAGCUAAUACCUUGCUGUUUUGACGUUACCAGCAGAAUAAGCACCGGCUAACUUCGUGCCAGCAGCCGCGGUAAUACGAAGGGUGCAAGCGUUAAUCGGAAUUACUGGGCGUAAAGCGCGCGUAGGUGGUUCAGCAAGUUGGAUGUGAAAGCCCCGGGCUCAACCUGGGAACUGCAUCCAAAACUACUGGGCUAGAGUAUGGUAGAGGGUGGUGGAAUUUCCUGUGUAGCGGUGAAAUGCGUAGAUAUAGGAAGGAACACCAGUGGCGAAGGCGACCACCUGGACUAAUACUGACACUGAGGUGCGAAAGCGUGGGGAGCAAACAGGAUUAGAUACCCUGGUAGUCCACGCCGUAAACGAUGUCAACUAGUUGUUGGGUUCCUUGAGGACUUAGUAACGAAGCUAACGCGAUAAGUUGACCGCCUGGGGAGUACGGCCGCAAGGUUAAAACUCAAAUGAAUUGACGGGGGCCCGCACAAGCGGUGGAGCAUGUGG
rnacentral:rRNA from 1 species